rnacentral:rRNA from 1 species
GACGAACGCUGGCGGCGUGCUUAACACAUGCAAGUCGAACGGUGAUGCUCCAGCUUGCUGGAGUGGAUCAGUGGCGAACGGGUGAGUAACACGUGAGCAACCUGCCCCAGACUCUGGAAUAAGCGCUGGAAACGGCGUCUAAUACUGGAUACGAAACUGGCCCGCAUGGGCAUGGUUUGGAAAGUUUUUCGGUUUGGGAUGGGCUCGCGGCCUAUCAGCUUGUUGGUGAGGUAAUGGCUCACCAAGGCGACGACGGGUAGCCGGCCUGAGAGGGCGACCGGCCACACUGGGACUGAGACACGGCCCAGACUCCUACGGGAGGCAGCAGUGGGGAAUAUUGCACAAUGGGCGAAAGCCUGAUGCAGCGACGCCGCAUGAGGGAUGACGGCCUUCGGGUUGUAAACCUCUUUCAGCAGGGAAGAAGCGAAAGUGACGGUACCUGCAGAAGAAGCACCGGCUAACUACGUG